CGUACACUCCUACGGGAGGCAGCAGUGGGGAAUAUUGGACAAUGGGCGCAAGCCUGAUCCAGCCAUGCCGCGUGAGUGAUGAAGGCCCUAGGGUUGUAAAGCUCUUUCACCGGUGAAGAUAAUGACGGUAACCGGAGAAGAAGCCCCGGCUAACUUCGUGCCAGCAGCCGCGGUAAUACGAAGGGGGCUAGCGUUGUUCGGAUUUACUGGGCGUAAAGCGCACGUAGGCGGACUAUUAAGUCAGGGGUGAAAUCCCGGGGCUCAACCCCGGAACUGCCUUUGAUACUGGUAGUCUUGAGUUCGAGAGAGGUGAGUGGAAUUCCGAGUGUAGAGGUGAAAUUCGUAGAUAUUCGGAGGAACACCAGUGGCGAAGGCGGCUCACUGGCUCGAUACUGACGCCGAGGUGCGAAAGCGUGGGGAGCAAACAGGAUUAGAAACCCCGGUAGUCCCAUGAU
rnacentral:rRNA from 1 species